AUUGAACGCUGGCGGCAGGCCUAACACAUGCAAGUCGAACGGUAGCACAGAGAGCUUGCUCUCGGGUGACGAGUGGCGGACGGGUGAGUAAUGUCUGGGAAACUGCCCGAUGGAGGGGGAUAACUACUGGAAACGGUAGCUAAUACCGCAUAACGUCGCAAGACCAAAGUGGGGGACCUUCGGGCCUCACACCAUCGGAUGUGCCCAGAUGGGAUUAGCUAGUAGGUGGGGUAAUGGCUCACCUAGGCGACGAUCCCUAGCUGGUCUGAGAGGAUGACCAGCCACACUGGAACUGAGACACGGUCCAGACGCCUACGGGAGGCAGCAGUGGGGAAUAUUGCACAAGGGGCGCAAGCCUGAUGCAGCCAUGCCGCGUGUAUGAAGAAGGCCUUCGGGUUGUAAAGUACUUUCAGCGGGGAGGAAGGCGGUGAAGUUAAUAGCUUCACCGAUUGACGUUACCCGCAGAAGAAGCACCGGCUAACUCCGUGCCAGCCGCCGCGGUAA
rnacentral:rRNA from 1 species